rnacentral:rRNA from 1 species
UACAGAGGUCUCAAGCGUUGUUCGGAUUCAUUGGGCGUAAAGGGUGCGUAGGCGGCCUAUUAAGUCAGGGGUGAAAGACGGUAGCUUAACUAUCGCAGUGCCCUUGAUACUGAUGGGCUUGAAUGUACUUGAGGUAGGCGGAAUGUGACAAGUAGCGGUGAAAUGCAUAGAUAUGUCACAGAACACCAAUUGCGAAGGCAGCUUACUAAAGUAUGAUUGACGCUGAGGCACGAAAGCGUGGGGAUCAAACAGG